GAUUAAGACCAUGCAUGUCUAAGUCCAAGUUGGGCGAGCGCUUCUGUGUUCGCCUGGCGAAACCGCGGACGGCUCAUUAAAUCAGUCGUGGCCCUAAGGGGUCCGGUUAACCUUUACUUGGAUAACCGUGGUAAUUCCAGAGCUAAUACAUGCAACUGUAAAUCCCUCGAGUUGGUGUGCGCAAGUGCACUCUCUUGUCGGAUGCUUUUAUUAGACCAAACCGCGAGGGCAGCUCACGCUGUCCUUGACUCGUGUUGUGGUGACUCUGGAUAACCUUAUGACAAGCGAACGUAUCCAUUGGUUUGGGACGUCGCUUCCACUUUCGAGUGUCUGCCUUAUCAGCUAUGCAUCGUUCGUUAUGUGCGAACGCUGGCUUUGACGGGUGACGGGGAAUCAGGGUUCGAUUCCGGAGAGGCAGCCUGAGAAACGGCUACCACGUCCAAGGACGGCAGCAGGCACGCAAAUUACCCAAUCCCAGCUACUGGGGGAGGUAGUGACGAAACCUAACGAUGCGGGCGCUCCUUCUGGGGCCCCGCAAUCGGAAUGAGCACUUUUCUUUCUAAACACCCUGUUGAGAACCUACUGAAGGGCAAGUCUGGUGCCAGCAGCCGCGGUAAUUCCAGCUUCAGCAGCAUCUACUAAACUUGCUGCGGUUAAAAGGCUCGCAGUUGAAUGUCAGUAUCGAGUGAAGGUAGGUGGACGUUGGGGUGUGUCUGCGUUGUGUGUGUGAUUGUUUGAGGAGAGUAGCUUCAUUGCGAAAUCUGAUGCAUUGCUCACGCGCGUGUUCACGAUAAAGCUCCCGUCCGUUUCAAGCCUCCUCACUUGCGUACAUGCAGGAGUUCACCACUUGCUCACGUUCGCGUGUGUGAGUACCGAACCUCCUUGGACACCUUGAGUAAAUCAGGUUGCUCAAAGCAGUCGUAAGGGAUUGGUGCUUGCACCUUUCCCGUGAUGAACGUCUUUAUUGACAGACGGGCUUGGUUUUGCAUGGUAUGUCGAAAGACGACGCACUUCUUUCCGUUGGUGGCGGGUCUAGAGCGGUGUGCGUGAGUGACGGUGUGGUGUGUAUUUAUUUAUACUCUGCAUCUGUUGCUUGCGUGCCUCACGCCAACGGGUGCGUAAUGAUUAAAAGGUUCGGUCGAGGGCAUUGGUAUUGCGAGGCGAGAGGUGAAAUUCUAUGACCCCCGCAAGACCUCCUGAAGCGAAAGCGUCUGCCAAGGACGUUCUCAUUAAUCAKAACGAAAGCCAGGCGUGGAGCCUGCGGCUUAAUUUGACUCAACACGGGCCAUCUCACCAGGCCAGCACUCUUGUACGAUUGACAGAUUGAGAGCUCUUUCUCGAUUCAGUGGAUGGUGGUGCAUGGCCGUUCUUAGUUGGUGGAGUGAUCUGUCUGGUUAAUUCCGAUAACGAACGAGACUCUCCCCUGCUAACUAGUCGGUUGGAUCUUGUUCGAGUGAGUCGCGUGUGUGCAUUUCGGUGUGUGCUCGCACUCCUCAAGUCCACCGCUUGCUUGGUGUUGGUUGUGUCUGUCUCGUUGCAUGCACUUCACGGUGUGUGUGGCGUGUGCGGGUGCGAUUCAACCCUUGUUCAAAACUCUUCUUAGAGGGAUUCACGGCUCUGAAGUCGUAAGAGACUGAGAGCAAUAACAGGUCUGUGAUGCCCUUAGAUGUUCUGGGCCGCACGCGCGCUACAAUGCCGGGCUCAACAGGUAUUGCUUCCUUCUCCGUGAGGAGUGGGUAACCCUUUGAAAGCCCUUAAACAAUCUCUGUAUGGUGUCAAAUUCUCCUUGUGAGUUUUGGUAUCAUCUCUGGCAUGCUUGGGCCUGGGGCUUGCAAUUGUUUCCCACCAACGAGGAAUGCCCAGUAAUGGCGAGUCACAGAGCUCGCCAUGACUCAGUCCCUGCCCUUUGUACACACCGCCCGUCGCUACUACCGAUUGGGUGUACCAGUGAGAGCCCUGGACUGGCGAACCUCGCUCUCUCACGAGAGUGAGUGUGCACGACGGGAAGAGGUUCGAACUGGUACACUUAGAGGAAGUAAAAGUCGUAACAA
rnacentral:rRNA from 1 species